GUAAGUGUAGUCAAGUGGAUAUGCCUGACUGGAAAACCGGCGACCCGAAAGGGUUCCAGAGUUCGAAUCUCUGCGCUUCCG
rnacentral:tRNA from 1 species